rnacentral:rRNA from 1 species
AGGUCACACCCGUUCCCAUACCGAACACGGAAGUUAAGCUUCUCAGCGCCGAUGGUAGUUGGGGGCUGUCCCCCUGUGAGAGUAGGACGCUGCCGGGCGUA